AUUGACCGCUUGCAGCAGGCUUAACACAUGCAAGUCGAGCGAGCGGCGGACGGGUUAGUAAUGUCUGGGAAACUGCCUGAUGGAGGGGGAUAAUUACUGGAAACGGUAGCUAAUACCGCAUCCCAUCAGAUGUGCCCCGAUGUGAUUAGCUAGUCGGUGAGGUAAUGGCUCACCUAGUCGACGAUCCCUAGCGGGUCUGAGAGGAUGACCAGCCACACUGGAACUGAGACACGGUCCAUACGCCUACGGGAGGCAGCAGGGGGGAAUAUUGCACAAUGGGCGCAAGCCUGAUGCAGCCAUGCCGCUGGUGUGAAGAAGGCCUUCGGGCUGUAAAGCACGUUCAGCGAGGAGGCGUUACUCGCAGAAGAAGCACCGGCUAACUCCGUGCCAGCAGCCGCGGUAAUAC
rnacentral:rRNA from 1 species